GACGAACGCUGGCGGCGUGCUUAACACAUGCAAGUCGAGCGGAAAGGCCCCUUCGGGGGUACUCGAGCGGCGAACGGGUGAGUAACACGUGAGCAACCUGCCCCUGACUCUGGGAUAAGCCUGGGAAACUGGGUCUAAUACCGGAUACGACCACUGCCCGCAUGGGUUGGUGGUGGAAAGAUUUUAUCGGUUGGGGAUGGGCUCGCGGCCUAUCAGCUUGUUGGUGGGGUGAUGGCCUACCAAGGCGACGACGGGUAACCGGCCUGAGAGGGCGACCGGUCACACUGGGACUGAGACACGGCCCAGACUCCUACGGGAGGCAGCAGUGGGGAAUAUUGCGCAAUGGGCGGAAGCCUGACGCAGCGACGCCGCGUGGGGGAUGACGGCCUUCGGGUUGUAAACCCCUUUCAGCAUCGACGAAGCUCCGCUUUUUUUUGGGGUGGGGUGACGGUAGGUGCAGAAGAAGCGCCGGCUAACUAC
rnacentral:rRNA from 1 species